rnacentral:rRNA from 1 species
UACAGAGGUCUCAAGCGUUGUUCGGAUUCAUUGGGCGUAAAGGGUGCGUAGGUGGCGCCAUAAGUCGGGUGUGAAAUCUCGGGGCUUAACUCCGAAACUGCAUUCGAUACUGUGGUGCUUGAGGACUGGAGAGGAGACUGGAAUUCAUGGUGUAGCAGUGAAAUGCGUAGAGAUCAUGAGGAAGACCAGUGGCGAAGGUGGGUCUCUGGACAGUUCCUGACACUGAGGCACGAAGGCCAGGGGAGCAAACGGG